rnacentral:rRNA from 1 species
GCAAGUCGAGCGGACAGAUGGGAGCUUGCUCCCUGAUGUUAGCGGCGGACGGGUGAGUAACACGUGGGUAACCUGCCUGUAAGACUGGGAUAACUCCGGGAAACCGGGGCUAAUACCGGAUGCUUGUUUGAACCGCAUGGUUCAAACAUAAAAGGUGGCUUCGGCUACCACUUACAGAUGGACCCGCGGCGCAUUAGCUAGUUGGUGAGGUAAUGGCUCACCAAGGCAACGAUGCGUAGCCGACCUGAGAGGGUGAUCGGCCACACUGGGACUGAGACACGGCCCAGACUCCUACGGGAGGCAGCAGUAGGGAAUCUUCCGCAAUGGACGAAAGUCUGACGGAGCAACGCCGCGUGAGUGAUGAAGGUUUUCGGAUCGUAAAGCUCUGUUGUUAGGGAAGAACAAGUGCCGUUCAAAUAGGGCGGCACCUUGACGGUACCUAACCAGAAAGCCACGGCUAACUACGUGCCAGCAGCCGCGGUAAUACGUAGGUGGCAAGCGUUGUCCGGAAUUAUUGGGCGUAAAGGGCUCGCAGGCGGUUUCUUAAGUCUGAUGUGAAAGCCCCCGGCUCAACCGGGGAGGGUCAUUGGAAACUGGGGAACUUGAGUGCAGAAGAGGAGAGUGGAAUUCCACGUGUAGCGGUGAAAUGCGUAGAGAUGUGGAGGAACACCAGUGGCGAAGGCGACUCUCUGGUCUGU